rnacentral:rRNA from 1 species
UAUUGGUCAAUGGACGAGAGUCUGAACCAGCCAAGUAGCGUGAAGGAUGACUGCCCUAUGGGUUGUAAACUUCUUUUAUAUGGGAAUAAAGUUUGGUAUGCAUACCAUUUUGUAUGUACCAUAUGAAUAAGGAUCGGCUAACUCCGUGCCAGCAGCCGCGGUAAUACGGAGGAACCGAGCGUUAUACGGAUUUAUUGGGUUUAAAGGGAGCGUAGGCGGGUUGUUAAGUCAGUUGUGAAAGUUUGCGGCUCAACCGUAAAAUUGCAGUUGAUACUGGCAUCCUUGAGUACAGUAGAGGUGGGCGGAAUUCGUGGUGUAGCGGUGAAAUGCUUAGAUAUCACGAAGAACUCCGAUUGCGAAGGCAGCUCACUAGACUGCAACUGACACUGAUGCUCGAAAGUGUGGGUAUCAAAC